ACGCACGCCAGGUGAGCGUGCUACUGCUUGAGCCACAUCCCCAGCCCUCUCACCAUAUCUUGGUGGGCGUGGCUAACAGCAGUGUGCUGCAACUGAGCAGAUAUGCCAUUAGUUGAUUAGCAGCAUUACUUCUCAACAAUACAAGAUUUUACUUAUACCUAUAAACUGAAGAAGGUCUUAAGAGCUCUGAACACUUAAGAGUAAAUGGUGGAAGAAGUUACCCAUCAGCAUGGACCACUGGGAACUGAUGACUUGGAGUGAUGUCAUUGUUGAAGUACUUUGCUAUUACCCCUCUCAUCAUACAUCCCAAAAUACUGGAGCAAGUGGCUCCACCACUUAAUAGAUGUGUGACUUUGGAUAAAGUACAUCUUCACUAGUUUCAUGUCUUGUAAAACUGUGAUAAUAAAAAUACUUCUAUCACAGGGUUGUUAUGAUUUAAUUAAAUAAUGAACAUGAAUGUUUUACAAGUCUUAA